rnacentral:misc_RNA from 1 species
AAAAAAAAAAAAAAAAAAAAAAAACAGUAGGGCGCCGCUCAGUAUAAGUCAGCACGCUCAUGCGCCCCUGUCGAAUAUAAAAGAACGCUCUCUUACCUAACGAGACGUCCAUCACUCGUCCACCUUCUCACAUUUCGCGGACGGAAAACAGCACCGGUGGUCCUAUGAAUAAGAUCACCAUUUGACAAAUAAAAUUUAUCGGUGGUAAAAGACCCACCGGCCUUAAAGAAC